GCUGGCGGCGUGCCUAAUACAUGCAAGUCGAACGAACUCUGGUAUUGAUUGGUGCUUGCAUCAUGAUUUACAUUUGAGUGAGUGGCGAACUGGUGAGUAACACGUGGGAAACCUGCCCAGAAGCGGGGGAUAACACCUGGAAACAGAUGCUAAUACCGCAUAACAACUUGGACCGCAUGGUCCGAGUUUGAAAGAUGGCUUCGGCUAUCACUUUUGGAUGGUCCCGCGGCGUAUUAGCUAGAUGGUGGGGUAACGGCUCACCAUGGCAAUGAUACGUAGCCGACCUGAGAGGGUAAUCGGCCACAUUGGGACUGAGACACGGCCCAAACUCCUACGGGAGGCAGCAGUAGGGAAUCUUCCACAAUGGACGAAAGUCUGAUGGAGCAACGCCGCGUGAGUGAAGAAGGGUUUCGGCUCGUAAAACUCUGUUGUUAAAGAAGAACAUAUCUGAGAGUAACUGUUCAGGUAUUGACGGUAUUUAACCAGAAAGCCACGGCUAACUACGUGCCAGCAGCCGCGGUAAUACGUAGGUGGCAAGCGUUGUCCGGAUUUAUUGGGCGUAAAGCGAGCGCAGGCGGUUUUUUAAGUCUGAUGUGAAAGCCUUCGGCUCAACCGAAGAAGUGCAUCGGAAACUGGGAAACUUGAGUGCAGAAGAGGACAGUGGAACUCCAUGUGUAGCGGUGAAAUGCGUAGAUAUAUGGAAGAACACCAGUGGCGAAGGCGGCUGUCUGGUCUGUAACUGACGCUGAGGCUCGAAAGUAUGGGUAGCAAACAGGAUUAGAUACCCUGGUAGUCCAUACCGUAAACGAUGAAUGCUAAGUGUUGGAGGGUUUCCGCCCUUCAGUGCUGCAGCUAACGCAUUAAGCAUUCCGCCUGGGGAGUACGGCCGCAAGGCUGAAACUCAAAGGAAUUGACGGGGGCCCGCACAAGCGGUGGAGCAUGUGGUUUAAUUCGAAGCUACGCGAAGAACCUUACCAGGUCUUGACAUACUAUGCAAAUCUAAGAGAUUAGACGUUCCCUUCGGGGACAUGGAUACAGGUGGUGCAUGGUUGUCGUCAGCUCGUGUCGUGAGAUGUUGGGUUAAGUCCCGCAACGAGCGCAACCCUUAUUAUCAGUUGCCAGCAUUAAGUUGGGCACUCUGGUGAGACUGCCGGUGACAAACCGGAGGAAGGUGGGGAUGACGUCAAAUCAUCAUGCCCCUUAUGACCUGGGCUACACACGUGCUACAAUGGAUGGUACAACGAGUUGCGAACUCGCGAGAGUAAGCUAAUCUCUUAAAGCCAUUCUCAGUUCGGAUUGUAGGCUGCAACUCGCCUACAUGAAGUCGGAAUCGCUAGUAAUCGCGGAUCAGCAUGCCGCGGUGAAUACGUUCCCGGGCCUUGUACACACCGCCCGUCACACCAUGAGAGUUUGUAACACCCAAAGUCGGUGGGGUAACCUUUUAGGAACCAGCCGCCUAAGGUGGGACAGAUGAUUAGGGUGAAGUC
rnacentral:rRNA from 2 species